rnacentral:rRNA from 1 species
GGAAUCUUCCACAAUGGGCGCAAGCCUGAUGGAGCAACACCGUGUGAGUGAAGAAGGGUUUCGGCUCGUAAAGCUCUGUUGUUAAAGAAGAACAUAUCUGAGAGUAACUGUUCAGGUAUUGACGGUAUUUAACCAGAAAGCCACGGCUAACUACGUGCCAA